GCUAGGGGGCCACAACCACCACAACUCUGGGAGAGAAGAGAAGAGAAAGGGACAGAAGGGGGGAAAGGAGGUGAGGGUGAGAGAGCGAGCGAGCGCAAAAGGGGCGAGCGCGAGAGGCGCUCUGGAGAGAAACGCACAAAAGUGUCCCGCAAGUCGAAAUCCAUGCUGCUGGACUGCUGGGCUCACCAUGAUGUCAGUACCACCAGGAUGCAGCUGGACAGCCUGGAAGGGCCCUUCAUUAGGAAUAUUAAGUAGGAAUAAAAUGAAAAACAGUAGCUUCCCUGCUAUUGGAAUUCAGUUCAUGAUAUUUCUAAAGACAUUCUUUCUGUGGAAUGUAGCUCCUAAAGAAUAGCAAGAAGAGAUAAGAAAGCCUUCUUCAGCGAUCAAUGCAAAGAAAUAGAGGAAAACAACAGAAUGGGAAAGACUAGAGAUCUCUUCAAGAAAAUUAGAGAUACCAAGGGAACAUUUCAUGCAAAGAUGGGCUCAAUAAAGGACCGAAAUGAUAUGGACCUAACAGAAGCAGAAGAUAUUAAGAGGUGGCUAGAAUACAAAAAAGAUCUUCAUGACCAAGAUAAUCACGAUGGUGUGAUCACUCAUCUAGAGCCAGACAUCUUGGAAUGUGAAGUCAAGUGGGUCUUAGAAAGCAUCACUAUGAACAAAGCUAGUGGAGGUGAUGGAAUUCCAGGGGAGCUAUUUCAAAUCCUGAAAGAUGAUGCUGUUUAAAUGCUGCACUCAAUAUGCCAGCAAGUUUGGAAAACUCAGCAGUGGCCACAGGACUGGAAAAGGUCAGUUUUCAUUCCAAUCCUAAAGAAAGGCAAUGCCAAAGAAUGCUCCAACUACCGCACAACUGCACUCAUCUCACACGCUAGUAAAGUACUGCUCAAAAUUCUCCAAGCCAGGCUUCAACAAUACGUGAACCGUGAACUUCCAGAUGUUCAAGCUGGUUUUAGAAAAGGCAGAGGAACCAGAGAUCAAAUUGCCAACAUCCACUGGAUCAUGGAAAAAGCAAGAGAGUUCCAGAAAAACAUCUAUUUCUGCUUUAUUGACU
ensembl:lncRNA